UGGGGAAUAUUGCACAAUGGGCGCAAGCCUGAUGCAGCAACGCCGCGUGAGGGACGAAGGCUUCGGGUUGUAAACCUCUUUUAGCAGGGAAGAAGCGAAAGUGACGGUACCUGCAGAAAAAGCGCCGGCUAACUACGUGCCAGCAGCCGCGGUAAUACGUAGGGCGCAAGCGUUGUCCGGAAUUAUUGGGCGUAAAGAGCUCGUAGGCGGUUUGUCGCGUCUGCUGUGAAAAUCCGAGGCUCAACCUCGGACCUGCAGUGGGUACGGGCAAACUAGAGUGCGGUAGGGGAGAUUGGAAUUCCUGGUGUAGCGGUGGAAUGCGCAGAUAUCAGGAGGAACACCAAUGGCGAAGGCAGAUCUCUGGGCCGUAACUGACGCUGAGGAGCGAMACKNGAGGGAGCGAACAGGAUUAGMUACCCUGGUAGUCCACGCCGUAAACGGUGGGAACUAGAUGUGGGGUCCGUUCCACGGAUUCCGUGUCGCAGCUAACGCAUUAMSUUCCCCGCCUGGGGAGU
rnacentral:rRNA from 1 species